UCAUCCAACAUUGUUUGAAUGAAAGACAUCGCAGGAAACAAAAAUAAAGAUGAAUUUGAAGCAGGAAAAAGAAAGAUUGGGAAAGGUUGAGUUUCUUACAAGAAGAUCGAGGAGCGCCCCUAAAAGGAAUUGGAUGAUAUUAGCCGAUCUGGAGGAGAAAGCUGAAAUAUUGAAGACGGUGAAGGUAAUGAGAGACAAAGAGAGUAAAGAAAGAGAGAAAUAAAACCGUCUUCAAAGGUAAUGAGAGACAAAGAGAGUAAGGAAAGAGAGAAAUAAAAGCUAAACG
rnacentral:lncRNA from 1 species